GGGGAAAGCUGCUUUUGAUUGGACAGAAUCGGAAGAUAUGCAGUGACCAGCCCAAAGCCAUACAGUAGAGGAGUCACAGUUGACACUGAGAACGGCAAGCUGGUGCCCCACGGAGCACAAGAUUCACGCAGAGCACAGGCUGUAGGCCAUGCAGGCUCGGUAGCUGUGGUGCAUGGGCUCAGCUGUCCGGCGGCAUGUGGAAUCUCCCCAGACCAGGGAUAGGACCGCGCCCCCUCCAUUGGCAGGCGGAUUCUUAACCACUGGACCACCAGGGAAGUCCCUGCCCUGCUGAAGUUCCUAGUCUACCAGACACCAGAGAAAUAUACACAGCGUACUAAGGAAGCAUUUAGUAGAGCAAGAAGCCAGCUACCAUGAGUGAGGACACUCAUAUAUGGAAAGACCCUUCUAGGGAAGAACUGAGGCCUCCUGCUGACCCCAGAGAGAGAUGACUGCAGCCCUAGGCCAACAGCUUGACUGCAACUUCACGAGAGACCCUGAGUCAGAACCAUCUAGAGGUGCUCCUCUCGGAUUCCUAACUGUCAGAAACUGUGAGAUCACAAAUGUUUGUUGUUUUAAGCUAUAGCAUUUAGGGGAUAAUUUGUUAUACAGCGAUAGAUAACUAAUACAU
ensembl:lncRNA